rnacentral:rRNA from 1 species
CCUACGGGGGGCAGCAGUAGGGAAUCUUUCACAAUGGGCGAAAGCCUGAUGGAGCAACGCCGCGUGCAGGAUGAAGGCCUUCGGGUUGUAAACUGCUUUUAUAAGCGAGAAAUAUGAUGGUAACUUAUGAAUAAGGAUCGGCUAACUACGUGCCAGCCGCCGCGGUCAUACGUAGGAUCCGAGCAUUAUCCGGAGUGACUGGGUGUAAAGAGUUGCGUAGGUGGCAUAAUAAGUAGCUAGUGAAAUCUGGUGGCUCAACCAUUCAGACUAUUAGCUAAACUGUUAAGCUCGAGACCGUUAGGGGUAACGGGAAUUUCUAGUGUAGGAGUGAAAUGCGUAGAUAUUAGAAGGAACACCAAUAGCGUAGGCAGGUUACUGGGACGGUUCUGACACUAAGGCACGAAAGCGUAGGGAGCAAACGGGAUUAGAUACCCUUGUAGUC